rnacentral:rRNA from 1 species
GGUUAAGUCCCGCAACGAGCGCAACCCCUACGUUUAGUUGCUAACGUGUAACGAUGAGCACUCUAGGCGGACUGCCGUGGACAAAACGGAGGAAGGUGGGGAUGACGUCAAAUCAUCAUGCCCCUUAUGUUCUGGGCUACACACGUGCUACAAUGGCCGGUACAAAGGGACGCAAAGCCGCGAGGUGGAGCAAAUCCGAUAAAAGCCGGUCUCAGUUCGGAUUGCAGGCUGCAAUUCGCCUGCAUGAAGUCGGAAUCGCUAGUAAUCGCAGGUCAGCAUACUGCGGUGAAUACGUUCCCGGGCCUU